rnacentral:snRNA from 1 species
GUGCUCGCUUUGGCAGCAAAUAUACUAAAAUUGGAACGAUACAGAGAAGAUUAGCAUUGCCCCUGCACAAGGAUGACACGCAAAUUCGUGAAGCAUUCCAUAUUUUU